AGCGAACGCUGGCGGCAGGCCUAACACAUGCAAGUCGAACGGACCCUUCGGGGUGAGUGGCGGACGGGUGAGUAACACGUGGGAACGUGCCCGCUGGUUCGGAAUCAGCUCGGGAAACUGGCUCUAAUACCGAAUGUGCCCGACGGGGGAAAGAUGUAUCGCCAAAGGAGCGGCCCGCGUCUGAUUAGCUAGUUGGUGAGGUAAAGGCUUACCAAGGCUACGAUCAGUAGCUGGUCUGAGAGGAUGAUCAGCCACAUUGGGACUGAGACACGGCCCAAACUCCUACGGGAGGCAGCAGUGGGGAAUCUUGCGCAAUGGGCGAAAGCCUGACGCAGCCAUGCCGCGUGAAUGAUGAAGGUCUUAGGAUGGUAAAAUUCUUUCACCGGGGACGAUAAUGACGGUACCCGGAGAAGAAGCCCCGGCUAACUUCGUGCCAGCCGCCGCCGUAACAC
rnacentral:rRNA from 1 species